ACCUAAAACGUUGAUUUUUUCAAAACAUCCCCCUUUGAUUUUUCUAUACUUUUUUAUGAAGAAAACUGAAUUAAUGCCAUGAAAUUGCCAAUGCCAUUAACUUGCUUCAAAAAAUUUCUAUAUUUUUUAAUUUUUUUUUCACAAUUUAAUGUAAUUUUAACCUAUCAGACCAUUUUCAAAUGUUAGUCGAGAUUUCCAGCAAUAAAAUGUUUUUUCCAUGAUUUUAUAUUAAAUAACAAACAAUUCAUCCUCAGAUAUGGUGGCUGUCAGACCCCUUUCUAUCUAGGCGCAACGGAGAAAAAACAAGUUUAUAAGUAAAUAUUCUCCGAUAUACCCAACAAAUCAACAAACCCGUUAAUGUGCCUUUUUUCAGGCCUCUAUUAGCUGUAUACCUGGGUAGAAUUGUGUAUGUCAUUCUUCAACAUUCUUAAAAAAAAUAUCGAUGGGAUGUAUUUUGAGAAAAUCAAAGUUUUAUGUUUUUUACUAUGUUUUUUUUUCUUUCAGUAUCUUUUUUCAAAGAACAUUUAAUUACCUACCACUUUUUCUCAGUUAUCAUUUUGAUCAGAUCAAUCAUUUUCAUUUUAUGAUUUUUCGAAAAAAAAAUACAAUCCAUUCUAUGAAUAGGCCUCUUUAAAAAGUUACUCUGGAGAACAAAAUUAUAUUUUAAUUAAACAUGCAACCAUUGGUAGCAGGGAACAUAUUGUAUGUUUCAUUCAAAUCGGAAACACUCACGUCCAACCAGUUUACGUUUUGGGCUGGAAAUGCUCUAUAAACAUAACGGGGAGAGUGGGAAUGCCAACUCCCCGUUGAUAACAUUUCAUGGAUAAAGGGCGGCCUCUUCUGUCCAUUCAUUGAGGCAUAUUUCUGUUUGGGGGCUCAUCUUUUUGACCAAUUGUGCGAUCAUGUUGCUGUUACUGUCCCGCGACUUUGCCUAUCGAUCCACCCAAUCCCUUUUUCGCGCUUCAUACAGCGACAUGUUGAGGACAAUCAGAGGCUAUUGAGCUUGAUGAAGACAAACAGAGCCCACUGCCAUCGAAUUUAGUAUCCGUGAUACAAUGGGUGCAAGACCAUCAAGAACAUUUCCAGCUCAAAACGUAAAUAAAAAAAUACCAGUUUUGUCCGGACCCUUUCCGAUAUGAAUGAAACAUUGCAUCUGUGUUGGUUGCUACCUAAGAUUACAUUUUGCAUUAAAAUAUGACUACUUAAAGACUGAGUGGGAAAGAUUAGUAAUUUCCAUUUCGUCGAGUAUUAGUCAAGACACUAAAGAAGUCUGCACAUUGUAGACGGAAUACGCGUAUCUGUCAAGGAUAAGCAAAUAAGGUAGUGGAAUUAAAUGGAAAUUACUUAUCUUUCUCUCUCUCUUUAUAUUAUCGUUUCAGUAGAAAACCGGAAAAUCCCACACGCGCCAAUUGAAUUUACUCUCGUUCUGUACGUUAAACAUAACGUCGGACAUAGUGCGCUGU